GGACAGUCACCAAUGCACUGAACUCAAACAAUAAACAACAAUUACCAAAAUACCCCUGGAACCACUGGUCAAUCCUUGGUCAAAGACAAGGUCAAAGUCAACCCCUGACUGACCCUACUCGCCGAGUCAACCCUAUGACUCGCCGAGUCCCCAUACUCAGAACUUCACUUAACCCGCGACCUAACUCGCCGAGUCACCCCAAGACUCGCCGAGUUCAACAACUCUGAGUCCACUCGCCCUUGACUCACCGAUUCUCUAAGAUUCCCUUUCUACACGUCGAGUAUCCCCCUUUUGACUCGACGAGUUCCUCCUGGAAGAAUCGCGGGGCCACCCCGACUCAACUCGCCGAGUCUGAAGAACAACUCGACGAGUCCCAGUUAAUCUUCAAGCUACUCGCCGAGUCUGUUCAUCGACUCGGCGAGUCCAUGCCAUGCAACCGCUCAACUGCAUCCUGGGAUAGUUAUGGUUCCGAAAUACACAAGCAUGGGACCUUCUGGACCUCUAAAGGUCCUAAUACAGGGUUAUAUUCGUUUGGUUAACAAAGUAAUAAUCCAUCUAAUCACCAAAUGGGUUCCAUAAACCCUAGAUCCAUGCACACAUCAAUAUAACAGAAAUGAUCCGAAAUAUUACCUGAAUAACACACUCUAUGUGUCCCCAAACCUUAGAACUCGAAUCCCUUGCAGUUCCUUUAGCCAAGACUCUUCUCCUCCUUGCACCACAAUUUCUUCAAGUCACCAAUGGCCUUCAAUCUUGCCCUAGAUGCCCACAGCCGCUUAGGGUCUUCUCAGUCGACUAAAAGACGGGCAAUGACGGCAUAUAGUGCGUUAUAUACGACCCAAACCUGAACGGUUAGGGUUUUCGCUAAACAGCGUAGACUCGCCGAGUCCAUAUCGGACUCGUCGAGUCCGGUCGCGAACCCGCGACCAAGUCUGCGAUCCUACUCGGCGAGUCUAGGCUCCAACUCGCCGAGUCCCCUCUUAAAACACCCCCAAAAUCAUACUUAUAUCAAUAUUUGAAAUUCCGG
rnacentral:lncRNA from 1 species